rnacentral:lncRNA from 1 species
AGAAACGCUCUCGGCCUAAUUAUCUGCUCGGUCCCUGCCAGGCCUGUUGUCACCCAGAGCCAGCGCUCCUUCCCUUCUGCCUGCCCAAGCACCCGCGCCCUCUCGCCCGCUGUGGCGGUGUGCGGGGCUGGGCGAGGAGCGGGGUGCUGCGGGGGGUCCCCGCAGGCCCGGGGGGGUCCCGCUGCGACCGGAGCAGGGGGUGCAAAGGCAGCAGCGGGGCCACGGCACCGUCCGGCCUCCCAAGGCAGCAGUGGGAGGCCGGGGCCCGGGCCCCUCAGCCGGGCGGCCUCCACCCGGGGCGGCACCGGAGUGCCCGGUCCGGACCCCGACACCUGCCCGGUCCCCGCGGGGGCUCCGCAGGGCCGCCUGCCGCCGCCCGGAACUUUUCUCGGGCCGCCCCGGCCCCGGCCCCGGCCCGGUCCCGCCCCGCUGGCUCCUCCCCAGGCCGCGGCCGGUGAGGGCGGAGCGGAGGCGCCGCCGCCGCCGCGCACAGCAGCCGAGCCCCGAGCCGAGCGGCGGCGGGCGGCCCGGCAGGCGGCGGUGAGCGGGGCGGAGGGCGGCGGGGGAAGGGGACGGGAAGCGGGGCGCGGGCGGGGGGGGUCCCGCGGGCGGCUCCGGGCGCCCCCGCUGAGCCCCGGCCGCGGUGAGGACGGAGCGGGCCGGGCGGGGGGACGGCCCCGGGGCUCGGGCCGCAGGGGGGGCCGCGGCGCCCUGCCCUCGCCCCCGGGGCCGGGGCGGUGUCAGCGCGGGCGGGCCGAGCGCUGCUCCCGGGGGGCCGCGGCGCUGCCCUGCCCGCGGCCGGGGGGUGGCGGCGACUGCACGGCCCCUGCCCGCUGGGGCGGGUGCCCGGGGGCUGCGGGGGGCUCCCGUCCCGUCCCGUCCCGCUGCGGGGCUGCCCGGCCCCCGGCCAUCCGUCUUGGGCCGGCCCUGACGGGGUGUAGCGCGGUCGGGGCCGGGGCUGAGGCCGCCUCCGGAGCCUCCCGGCCCCAGCCCCGGAGGGGUGCAGCUGCGCCCCGGGAAAUCACCGGGAUUCCUCCGGUGCCUGCCGCGGCCGGGUGCGCGUCCCGCAGCCCCCGGCGGUGCCACGGGGCGCGGAACGCAGCGAGGGGCGCUCCCGGCCCCGGCGACACCGGAGGCGAACGGGGCCGAGGCCGGAACCGAGCGGGAGAAGGGGCCGGGGAGAGGCCGGGUGCUGCCGGGGGGGCUCGGUCAGGGCCCGGUGGUUCCGCUCCUCGCCCUGGCCGAGGCCCCCCCGUCGGGCCCCGGCGCAGGCCGCUCCCGCCCGGCGGCGGCCUCCGGCCCCGUCCAGCCCCGCAGCGGCCGCCGCGCCUCCCCCGGCCGGGUCGGGAGGAGCCGGGCCCUGGGUGCGGGGCUCCCCUGGGUGCGGGGCUCCCCUGGGUGCGGGGCUCCCCUGGGUGCCGUGCCCCGAGCAGCGCCCCGUGCUCCGGCCGGAGGACUUCGGCCUGGCCCUGCGGAGCGGAGCUGAGGGCGGCUCUCGGGACUUUGCUUCGCUGGCGGCCCGGGCAGAGCAGCGAGCAGGAAGGGCACGCCAUGGAAACUGCUGCUUGUUCCUUCAGUGACUUGACAAGGGCGACGGCAUUUCUUAAAACAGUUGUUUCGUUUGAAAGUGCCUGUCUGCUUUCAGAGCGUCCUGUCAGCGCUUCUUAUCGUUUCUGUCGCUUCUGUAAUUUUGUUUGA